CCUACGGGAGGCAGCAGUGGGGAAUAUUGCACAAUGGGGGAAACCCUGAUGCAGCGACGCCGCGUGAGUGAAGAAGUAUUUCGGUAUGUAAAGCUCUAUCUGCAGGGGAGAAAAUGACGGUACCUGAUUAAGAAGCCCCGGCUAACUACGUGCCAGCAGCCGCGGUAAUACGUAGGGGGCAGGCGUCAUCCGGAUUUACUGGGUGUAAAGGGGGCGUAGACGGCAGCACAAGUCUGGAGUGAAAUGCCGGGGCUUAACCCCGGAACUGCGUUGGAAACUGUGCAGCUAGAGUGCAGGAGAGGGAAGUGGAAUUCCUAGUGUAGCGGUGAAAUGCGUAGAUAUUAGGAGGAACACCAGUGGCGAAGGCGGCUUACUGGACUGUAACUGACGUUGAGGCUCGAAAGCGUGGGGAGCAAACAGGAUUAGAUACCCGGGUAGUC
rnacentral:rRNA from 1 species